AGGAAUAUUGGGCAAUGGAGGCAACUCUGACCCAGCCAUGCCGCGUGAGUGAAGAAGGUUUUCGGAUUGUAAAGCUCUUUCGGAUGUGACGAUGAUGACGGUAGCAUCUAAAGAAGCCCCGGCUAACUUCGUGCCAGCAGCCGCGGUAAUACGAAGGGGGCGAGCGUUGUUCGGAAUUACUGGGCGUAAAGGGUGUGUAGGCGGUUAUGUAAGAUAGCGGUGAAAUCCCGGGGCUUAACCUCGGAAUAGCCGUUAUAACUAUGUAGCUAGAGUUAUGGAGAGGAUAGCGGAAUACCCAGUGUAGAGGUGAAAUUCGUAGAUAUUGGGUAGAACACCGGUGGCGAAGGCGGCUAUCUGGCCAUAUACUGACGCUGAGGCACGAAAGCAUGGGGAUCAAACAGGAUUAGAUACCCUGGUAGUCCAUGCUGUAAACGAUGAAUGCUGGUUGUCGGCUUUAGGGUCGGUGACGAAGUUAACGCGAUAAGCAUUCCGCCUGGGGAGUACGGUCGCAAGAUUAAAACUCAAAGGAAUUGACGGGGACCCGCACAAGCGGUGGAGCAUGUGGUUUAAUUCGAUGCAACGCGAAGAACCUUACCAACUCUUGACAUCCUUAUCGGGGGGCGCAGAGAUGAGCCCUUUCAGUUAGGCUGGAUAAGUGACAGAUGCUGCAUGGCUGUCGUCAGCUCGUGUCGUGAGAUGUUGGGUUAAGUCCCGCAACGAGCGCAACCCCUGCUAUCAGUUGCCAGCGAGUAAAGUUGGGCACUCUGAUAGGACUGCCGGUGACAAGCCGGAGGAAGGUGGGGAUGACGUCAAGUCAUCAUGGCUCUUACGAGUUGGGCUACACACGUGCUACAAUGGUAACUACAGAGGGGAGCGAGACCGCGAGGUUGAGCCAAUCUUAAAAAGUUAUCUCAGUUCGGAUUGUUCUCUGCAACUCGAGAACAUGAAGUUGGAAUCGCUAGUAAUCGCGGAUCAGCAUGCCGCGGUGAAUACGUUCCCG
rnacentral:rRNA from 1 species